GUGUGUGCCUGGCACGACGACUACUGUACGUGUAGAUAGUGUGUGUCUCCUCCUCUGAGCCUCUUUGUAUACACAGGCCUUCUAUCCCUAAAUACAUGAAUCAGACCUCAGUGAGUAGUUGUAGCAGCCGAGGGAUCUUGUCAAAUGUGUGUUCCUACAUUUGACUGGAAGCUGCAGACAAACUGUGCAGAAUGGGUGCCUGCACUGAAGAAACUUUAAACCUGUUAGAUUUUAUGAAAGAGAGCUGACGACAAAAUACGUCUGACCAACAUCACCCCACAGCAGCAGCCGCACAUGAAGACACACAGGUUUGAGCUGAUUUGAAGAGAGCUGAAAAGACCAAAUGUGUGCUUUCACUCUAGUCUAUUUAGUUUAGCUGAGUGCUUUUGAGGUGCUUUAUUUCACCCCUCAGUGGUGUGCGCCCAGGUUCCCUUGAACAGUUUCAGUGACGUAAGAGAGUGAAUCGAUUGUUGAAUGUGUCAAGUUGAAGGGGUUACAAACUGUUGGUGUACGGUGUAAAAGCAAUAAGGGAGAUAAAAUAUUCUCAAAAUAAAAAAACUCUCACUUUUACCCUUGUGUCCCACAAUCAUGCAUUCUUGCUGAGGAAAAAAAAGACCACCAAGUGUCUCCAGGCGUGUCCUCUAACACCCUUACUGCACUCUGACCUCAAUUUCUUUAGCACCUGUAGUGUUGUGACUAGGACUGGGCAAUUUGGCAAAAAUGGAAAUGAUCACGAUAUAUUUUGUCAUAUUGUCCGGUCUCGAUUAUUAUCAUGAUUUUUUCUUUCUUUUUUUUUAAACUGCCAGUUUUAAUGCAUUUGUAUAAAAAACUAAAGAAACUAGAGAUUAUUUUAACAUGUUAUUAUCAUAAAAAGUAAAUAACAAAGCAUAUUGAAUAAGAUAAACUUAAAAAAUAUACAUGAAUAAUAAAUAAUAAUACAGUAAAUUAGUGUACAGUCCUGAUUGAGCAGGUAUGCAAGAUCCAAGAUAAACAAAUCGCCCCCUCAGGGAUAAUGAAGACAUCUUAAUAUGUAAACAUUAGAGGAUGUAACUGUAGAUGAUAUGAUUGAUUGCUGCUUCGGUCUGGUGGCUGCACCGCUAGUUGUGGCUAAACUGCUAAUCCUACUUGUGCCGUCAGCAAUGACAGGCUGUGCAGACUCGACUCACAUUUUCAUGUUUUCCGCAUAAUUACUUUGGAGGUACCUCCUUCAAAUGGUUAAACAGAUCUAUUGUGUUGCUGGUUUUUGAGGGCACCGACCACCGACAUAACUUGCACAUCGACUUUGAAGAUACCCGAGCCAGCAUCACACAACCAAUGUUGAAUAACUUUUCUUUUCAACAAUGGCAUCUUUGGAGGAUGACUCACAGUCAUGGCUGACAUUUAUUUUGCUUUCAGCUCCACGUUUAGUCAUUCUGUUUACUUCUCCAGCAACUUAGACGUGAGCAGGAAAAUCUCGACUCUGAUUCGCUGUUGUGACGCACAUUUCUGCUAUGUUUUGCUAUGGUCGAGUAAAUAUGCUCACAGCUGAUAACCGUGAUUGAACUGAAAUUGAUCAUGAUCAUUAAUCACGGUCAUAUAAUUGCUCAGUCCUAGUUGUGAUAUUAAAAACAAAGUUACCUGGACAUCUCAAGAUGAAGGGGAGAGUGCAGACUACACUUGCACUGAUCAGAAAUCCUUACCAGCUUAUUAUCAGUAGGGUGAGAAGCUGCUGGAGGAGACUCUUCUUACUCACUGACUUAUUUAUUUGACGGGAACAAAUGAUGAUAGGUAACAAUUUUUUUUUUUUAAGUAAAGCUUUUUUGCUUUAAGUAAUUUUAUUGACUUGAGAUUUAAGAUGUCAAGAAUAAAAAGUUCAGAUUUUACAAAAUGUAAAAUAAAGAGUACACUGAAGAAAGUACAAACACUGUGAAUACACUAAAGUAACUCAUUCAGAGUUCCCUAAUGUCUCUUUUUUUGGUCUCUAUUUACAGUUGAUAUAUCCUGAAAGAUUCAAGUUUACUCGGACAUGCAAAUUUACUCUGCUUGAGACAUUAGACCAAAGAAAACUUCAAAAACUCCUCCAAAUAGUUUUCAGAGAUUAAACCAUCAGACUCGGCACAAUUGGACAAUGUGAGGCGGAAACAGAUUCAUCACCAGACAGAGCUUCAUACUCAGGAGGCAAACCAGAGCAGCAUCAGUGAAGAGUUAUUUAAGGCGGUUUGUAAUUUGCUGGUGUUAUGCAUGUGGAAUCUCACGAUGCUGCACUAAUCAUUUUUAAUUUACAUUUCAUUUCCUCCUCUAAAUCGUAAACAGCACUGAUAACUAAACUCGAGGCUCUGGUCCUCACCUAGGUCGGUGUAUUUUCAGAUGCUCCCAGGUGGUCAGGUAAGAUGUGUUGCCAGGGUGAUGUGGUGACAGCAUGUCUGUUACCAAGGCAUCCCACAGAGGCAGCAGGAAAUGGGCCUGUCCCCACAGAUCUCCUGAAGUACGCAUACUUACAGCAUAGGAUACAGACACACACUCGGCAUGUUGUAGCAGAGCUGCAGAGAGAGGGUUUCAUAGAGAUAGCAGGUAGGACAAAAGAUGCAGCGUGCUGAUUUGUGUCUAUAUCAGUGGUUGUGUGUUUUUGCACCUGCCUGCCUUGCACUGUGUGGAUUUGAAAAGUGGCUUCAUCAUCUCCUCAGCCAAGCAGAGGUGGUCCAGCCCAGCGGGGUGGAGGUUGGGGGUGGGGGGGACAACAAACAGAAAUCAGAGGACUUUUGGAGGAGAAAACACAUGAGUAAAAGUCACAAAAAGUUGGCAAUGGAAAAAAGUGGAGGGUUGGCAAUAAGGCUGUCAUGAUAUGAGAUUUAUACCUCAUGCCAGUAAAGUUUAACCUAGACCUGAUAAUUAUGGAAACUUAAAGAUAAAACAAUCCAAUCAGUCAAACUGAGGCUGGAGGAACACAUAACUUUAUAAACCUUACUAACAAACAUGUCAUCGUCUAUUUCUAAUGAUUUAUUUUAUCUGCAUCACCAGCCCUGUGACUGAAGAAGACAUUGCCUCAUAAAUUAAAAGUCAUGCUUUUAUUUUGAUGUAUUUUCUACUUCUUUCCUGCACUGUUGAAUUAUGCUUUUAUUCUGAAGCAGACUUCUUCUGGUAUAUGGGGAGUUAUGGAGCUGAAUAAAAGCAGUGAAAAGAAUGGCUAGAAUGUGUAGAAAUUUAGCGUGAAUGCUACAGCUAGCUCACUUUCAGCUGCUGCUUUUUCUUCAUCUCUGUACUGUUUCAUGACAAGCGUCAUAAAGGACCUUAUCUAGGAGGUGAUAAAGAAGCAUCAGGAUCAGUUUUCAGCCCGUUAAAACUCCUCAUAGUGCCUUUAAGAAGACAUAGUAACACUGUAAAGAAUAACAUAACCAUAUUUAAAUAUGCAUGAGGUUUAAAGGUGUGUACUUUGACCCAAGAGGACUUGAGGAAGUCCAGAUGUCUCUGGAUGAUGAUACUGUUGAAAAUUUCUGUAAGUAGGUGGAAGCACCUCUCAAAAUAUUAAUGUUACAUUCUCGCACACAGAGAAAGAGAUUGUGUUGCAACGAGAAGGUUGGACUGAACUGCAGAGUCACAGAGAGCAGAGCAAUGCGUAUACACUGCCCAUGCUGUAGGACUUCAGUAAUUCAUCAAUAGGGACAAAAAAAAUUGCUGUAGCCCAACCCUGUGAGGAGAUGGAGAACUUUAAAGCACGUAUCAAUAAUUCAGUUUGGCUUUCUUAAUGUGCGCUAAUGCUAAAGUCAACAUCAAGUGUCAAGAAUUGGGGACACCAGGCGCAGCCAGAAGAGCUUUAAUACUCUUUGGCAUGGAUUGUAAAAGGCUUUUAACUUUACUCAGGAAAUGAAGAUCACCCUUCCAAAAAAUAUUCCAAAACUUCUGAUCAGGGCUCAGACGGGUUCAGGUCUACUCAACCAAACACUGACACUCCUACUGCUAACCCUGCUUAUUCGAGCACACAGGUGCAGCUAUGGCACAACAGACUGAACGGCACAUAAAAAGUCACAUACACACACAAACACACACACAUACUUGAAUGUAUAUUGAGAUUAACCACACUCUUACAGUGAGACUAUACUGUAUGAUGGGCCAUCAGCAAAAAGAGGAAAGAUGACAAAGAUAAAAGUAAAUGUGGGAGAGGAGAGGCUGUGAAGAAUGCACAUACAUAGUUACUCAUAAACACACACACACACACACACACACACACACACACACACACACACACACACACACACACACACAGAAACACACACAGUAGAAACUCAGGGCAACAGGUCAGAGACAGCAAAGGGAUGACACCAGCAGAGAGGAAAUUAGUCAUAACUGGAUAGAGGAGGAAAGAUGAAGACAACAACAGAUACAGAAUUUGUUUGUGUGUGUGUGUGUGUGUGCAUGUGUGUGUGUGCAUGCGUGUGUGCGUGUGUUGGAGGUUGAGAAAGUAUUACCUAAGACUAACACCCAAACAGAGCUGAGAGACUUAACUCUUAAAAGACACUAAGAGAGACAUUAAAAAAAAAUAAACGCGAGCAAGCUCACCAAUGAUUGAGCAAUGACACACACACACACACACACACACACACACGUACACACACACACACACAUGCUCAGUGUGAGUCUGCGCUUCCCCAGGAGUGGGCUCAGUCACUGAGGGGUCAGCCAUUUAUCCUGUCCCAUUACUGCGGACACCGCUGUGAAAUUGUCCAAUAAAUCAGUGUCUGAGAGCAGCAGUGCUCCCCCUGCUGACCGGCUGACUGGCUGUUUGACCGGCUGGCUGCUUGUUUCUCUCUCUGCCAGAUCUGCAAUUAGGGCAGAGAUACCAGAGGAGGCCUGCACAUGGUCAAAGAGGUGCCAGGAGGAUGAAUCCACAUAGAUGCCAGUGGAUAACUCAGCGGUCUCAUGCAGCACUUUUGUAGCAUCAUUAUUCUGAUUUAUAGCAGACGGCUCUGACGGCUUCGACUUCGAUUUGAGCGUCUGUUGACUAAACUUACAAACAGCGAUGCAACAAAUCACAAGAGGUCAGUGAUCCACUCAGACCCCCAGCACAGUUUAGAUCUUUUGAGAUUGGUGUAAAUGACCAACAUGACUGUGUCUGUCUGGCUGUGGUUGAUUUACUUUUAAUAUUGACCUCUGACCUUUGAGUUUAAAACAUUUCUGAGUAAUGCAGGUUUGUGUUUGGUACUCAGUUGUUCUGCUUGUCGUGCUGCUGUCUAUGGAAUCUAGUUAUUUGCUUCCUUGUAUGACUGGGUGAUUUGGCAAAAAAAAAAAAAAGACCACAAUGUAUUUUGUCAUAUCAUUCGAUCUCGAUUAUUAUCACGAUUUUUUUGGUAUUUUUUUUAAACUGCCAUUUUUAAAACAUCUGUCCUAAAAACUAAAGAAACUAGAGAUAAAUUCAACAUUUUAAUUAACAUACAAAGUAAAUGGCAAUGCAAAUUAAAUAAGUUAAACAUUAAAAAAAUAUUAAAAAAACAUUUUUAUUCCACAAUACAACAAAUGUAGAUAAAUAUUAAAUGAUACAGUGAACUAUACAGUCCUGAGUGUUUUUGCAGGUAUGCAAGACCAUAAAUAAACAAAUGCCUCCCUCAGGGAUAAUGAAGAUGCCUUAAAAUGUAAACAUUAGAGGAUGUAAAUAUAGAUGAUAAGACUUGUGGCUAAACUGCUAAUGCUACUUGUGCCGUCAGCAGUGACAGUCCAUACAAACUCUGCUCACAUUUUCAUGUUUUCUGCAUAAUCACUUGGGAAGAACUUCUUCAAAUGAUUAAACAGAUUUGUUGUGUUGCUGGUUUUUGAGGCACCGACCACCAACAUACCUUUCACAUUAGCUUAAUUACUCAACGUCACUUUGGAGAUACCCGAACCACCACCACAAAAAAAGAUAUUGAAUAACUUUUCUUCUCAACAAUGGCAUCUUCGAUGGAUGACUCAAAGUCAUGGUUGACAUCUAUUUUGGUGCCCUCAGCUCUGCCUUUAGCUCCACGUUCGGUCAUUCUGUUUACUUUCCCUGUUUACUUUUCUGGCAACUUACAGGAGUGUGCAGGAAAAGCUCGACUCUGAUUGGCUGUUGUGAUGCACAUUUCAGCUACGUUUGAUUGAGUAAAUAUGCUCACAGCUGAUCACCUUAUCGAACUGAAAUUGAUCACGAUCAUUAAUCACGAUCAUAUAACCGCCCAGUCCUA